UUAAUUUAGGAUGGCUAGCCUCAGAUU
rnacentral:piRNA from 1 species